UUUCUUGCUCCUCGUGGGUACAGUGAAUGCAAAUUAUUGAACUUUGCAAGGACUCCCAUAUAAAAGGAGACUUCUUCCUCUAUAUAAUAUCAUCGAAAGUUCAAAAAUAAAAAUCUUGAAACGUUGUCUUUGAAUUUCUAAACAGGCUAUUUCAAAUGUUUUGUAUGUUCUUAUUCAGCUAAUGUUUGAUACAUUUUGGAGAGAGGAAUCUCAACUACGUUACGCCUCAAUAUUUGAAGGAAUGAGAGAAAGGAAUCCUAACUCUAUAUGCAAUGAGUUCGUUGAACAGUAAAAUAUGUUGAUGUGAGUGAAUCCUAUUUUGCCAAUCGAUUCAUAAGAUCCCUAUUUCGUGAAAUCCUUGGUUCAAAAUUUUAUGUUGGGAGAGUUGAUCGGGCUUUUUGAUAAAUUUGAUAAAACAAUUGUAGGUUGGUUGUAUCAUUACUCUUUUGUCCCAUAAAGAUAUGUUUACCUUUCUUUUUCACACAUAUUAGUGGGCAAUUUAUCAAGAAAUUGAUUGUUGAAUUUGCAAUGAAG
rnacentral:lncRNA from 1 species